UCACACCCGUUCCCAUCCCGAACACGGUAGUUAAGCUUCUCUGCGCCAAUGGUAGUUGGGGGCUUCCCCCUGCGAGAAUAGGUCGCUGCCGGGC
rnacentral:rRNA from 1 species